rnacentral:rRNA from 1 species
GUCUACAUCCAUGCUACCCUAAACAAGCCUGUUCCGCCUGAUCUCAAAAGCUAAGCAGGGUCGGGCCUGGUUAGUACUUGGAUGGGAGACCACCUAGGAAGGCCAGGUGCUAUAAGCA